CAGAGUCUAACCUAAGAUGAGGAUCCGCCCCAGCAACCUCAUCUCAUUUAUUCUUUUGAUUAAUUUAUAUCGAAAAGAAUACUGUUCAGAGGGGCACGUGAAGCUUUUCGUCUCAUCAGCACCGGAGAGGAUUUCCACUCCAGAAAGGGCCUGAGAGGUGACGUAGUCCAAAUCCCCAGUGUUACAGAAACUGAGGCCUAGAGAGAGUGAGUCGCUCCGGGGACACCUGGAUUCUGGAGCCUGCUCCUGGAUAUACAGGAAUGUUAGCCCCAGCUACGGGGUGCCAGCACCCAGCAGGCCCUCUUCGUCCUGUGGCUACAGCUGCCUCCACCCUGGUGCAGCUUCAGGAGGGAGAAGGUGAGUGAGGGAGGAGUGGCGUCCAUGCUGGCCAGAGCGCCG
rnacentral:lncRNA from 10 species